GAAGACGAUAUCAUUUUUAUCUGAUUCUCCUGCUGCAACACUUGCUUCUUCUUCAGUAUUGGUAUUUUUCUGACCUUGACUUUUAUCAAAAUUAUUUUUCUACUGCUCUUUAUUUUUCAACUUGAAACAAUAAGCUUUUAUGUAACCAUUUUUCUUACAAUAACCACAAAUCAGAUUCCCGUGCUUUGACUUUAAUUUAGAUGUACCUCUAUUAUCGAAACCUUUCUCUCGAGACCUCCUAAUCAGAUUCCUGUGCUUUGACUUUGAUUUAGAUGUACCUCUAUUACCGAAACCUUUCUCC
rnacentral:lncRNA from 1 species